GCACAAGCCUGGCAUGGACACUCGAGCAGCCGUGGAACUACUGCUGAAUUCGACGCCCACCGCCACAAUUUCAAGAAUAAGCCAUCAAGAUUCAAGCUUGAAGCUAUGAACAAGGCAACCUCCAGAGAAUAUGAUGGAACAAUUAGUAGAUGGGAUUUCAGCCAGUCUCUUUGGGAUUCUUAUGAGAUACUCAAUGUGUCCAAAAAGUUAGAAACUGG
rnacentral:misc_RNA from 1 species